AGGGUUUGAUCAUGGCUCAGGAUGAACGCUAGCGGCAGGCUUAACACAUGCAAGUCGAGGGGUAACAUUGUAGCUUGCUACAGAUGACGACCGGCGCACGGGUGCGUAACGCGUAUAGAACCUACCUUAUAGUAAGGGAUAGCCCAGAGAAAUUUGGAUUAAUACCUUAUAGUAUCUUAAGUGAGCAUUCACUAUGGAUUAAAGAUUUAUUGCUAUAAGAUGGCUAUGCGUUCUAUUAGUUAGUUGGUAAGGUAACGGCUUACCAAGACAUCGAUAGAUAGGGGCCCUGAGAGGGGGAUCCCCCACUGGUACUGAGACACGGACCAGACUCCUACGGGAGGCAGCAGUGAGGAAUAUUGGACAAUGGAGGCAACUCUGAUCCAGCCAUGCCGCGUGUAGGAAGACUGCCCUAUGGGUUGUAAACUACUUUUAUAGAGGAAGAAACCUAUCUAUGUAUAGAUAGCUGACGGUACUCUACGAAUAAGGAUCGGCUAACUCCGUGCCAGCAGCCGCGGUAAUACGGAGGAUCCAAGCGUUAUCCGGAAUCAUUGGGUUUAAAGGGUCCGUAGGCGGGUUUGUAAGUCAGUGGUGAAAGUUUUCGGCACAACCGGAAAAUUGCCAUUGAUACUGCAAGUCUUGAAUCAUUAUGAAGUGGUUAGAAUAAGUAGUGUAGCGGUGAAAUGCAUAGAUAUUACUUAGAAUACCGAUUGCGAAGGCAGAUCACUAAUAAUGUAUUGACGCUAAGGGACGAAAGCGUGGGUAGCGAACAGGAUUAGAUACCCUGCUAGUCCACGCCGUAAACGAUGGUUACUAGCUGUUCGGACUUCGGUCUGAGUGGCUAAGCGG
rnacentral:rRNA from 1 species